UAUCAUACGCUUACGUAUGGGCUGCCGGAAAUACUGCAAAACUAGGGAGUGGGAGAGGUAGACGGUACUCGGGAGGAAGGGGUAAAAUCCUUUGAUCUCUCGAUGACCACCUGUGGCGAAGGCGGUCUACCAGAACACGUCCGACGGUGAGGGAUGAAAGCUGGGGGAGCAAACCGGAUUAGAUACCCGGGUAGUCCCAGCUGUAAACUAUGCAAACUCAGUGAUGCAUUGGCUUGAUGCCAAUGCAGUGUUGCAGGGAAGCCGUUAAGUUUGCCGCCUGGGAAGUACGUACGCAAGUAUGAAACUUAAAGGAAUUGGCGGGGGAGCACCACAAGGGGUGAAGCCUGCGGUUCAAUUGGAGUCAACGCCAGAAAUCUUACCCGGAGAGACAGCAGAAUGAAGGUCAAGCUGAAGACUUUACCAGACAAGCUGAGAGGUGGUGCAUGGCCGUCGCCAGCUCGUGCCGUGAGAUGUCCUGUUAAGUCAGGUAACGAGCGAGAUCCUUGCCUCUAGUUGCCACCAUUACUCUCAGGAGUAGUGGGGCGAAUUAGCGGGACCGCCGUAGUUAAUACGGAGGAAGGAAGGGGCCACGGCAGGUCAGUAUGCCCC
rnacentral:rRNA from 1 species